AGAGUUUGAUCCUGGCUCAGGACGAACGCUGGCGGCGUGCUUAACACAUGCAAGUCGAGCGGUAAGGCCCUUUCGGGGGUACACGAGCGGCGAACGGGUGAGUAACACGUGGGUGACCUGCCCUCCACUCUGGGAUAAGCCCGGGAAACUGGGUCUAAUACCGGAUAGGACCACUGAUCGCAUGGUUGGUGGUGGAAAGUUUUUUCGGUGGGGGAUGGGCCCGCGGCCUAUCAGCUUGUUGGUGGGGUGAUGGCCUACCAAGGCGGUGACGGGUAGCCGGCCUGAGAGGGCGACCGGCCACACUGGGACUGAGACACGGCCCAGACUCCUACGGGAGGCAGCAGUGGGGAAUAUUGCGCAAUGGGCGGAAGCCUGACGCAGCGACGCCGCGUGGGGGAUGACGGCCUUCGGGUUGUAAACCUCUUUCGCCAGGGACGAAGAGCAAUUGACGGUACCUGGAGAAGAAGCACCGGCCAACUACGUGCCAGCAGCCGCGGUAACACGUAGGGUGCGAGCGUUGUCCGGAAUUAUUGGGCGUAAAGAGCUCGUAGGCGGUGUGUCGCGUCGGCCGUGAAAACUUGGGGCUUAACUCUGAGCGUGCGGUCGAUACGGGCAUCACUUGAGUUCGGCAGGGGAGACUGGAAUUCCUGGUGUAGCGGUGAAAUGCGCAGAUAUCAGGAGGAACACCGGUGGCGAAGGCGGGUCUCUGGGCCGAUACUGACGCUGAGGAGCGAAAGCGUGGGGAGCGAACAGGAUUAGAUACCCUGGUAGUCCACGCCCUAAACGAUGCGAACUGGAUGUUGGUCUCAACUCGGAGAUCAGUGUCGAAGCUAACGCGUUAAGUUCGCCGCCUGGGGAGUACGGUCGCAAGACUGAAACUCAAAGGAAUUGACGGGGGCCCGCACAAGCGGUGGAGUAUGUGGUUUAAUUCGAAGCAACGCGCAGAACCUUACCAGCCCUUGACAUCCCGAUCGCGGUUACCAGAGAUGGUUUCCUUCAGUUAGGCUGGAUCGGUGACAGGUGCUGCAUGGCUGUCGUCAGCUCGUGUCGUGAGAUGUUGGGUUAAGUCCCGCAACGAGCGCAACCCUUGUUCCAUGUUGCCAGCACGUAAUGGUGGGGACUCAUGGGAGACUGCCGGGGUCAACUCGGAGGAAGGUGGGGAUGACGUCAAGUCAUCAUGCCCCUUAUGUCCAGGGCUUCACACAUGCUACAAUGGCUCAUACAGAGGGCUGCGAGACCGUGAGGUGGAGCGAAUCCCUUAAAGUGAGUCUCAGUUCGGAUCGGGGUCUGCAACUCGACCCCGUGAAGUUGGAGUCGCUAGUAAUCGCAGAUCAGCAACGCUGCGGUGAAUACGUUCCCGGGCCUUGUACACACCGCCCGUCACGUCACGAAAGUUGGUAACACCCGAAGCCGGCGGCCCAACCCUUGUGGAGGGAGCUGUCGAAGGUGGGACUGGCGAUUGGGACGAAGUCGUAACAAGGUA
rnacentral:rRNA from 1 species